CAUGAAGCCGGAAUCGCUAGUAAUCGCGAAUCAGAAUGUCGCGGUGAAUACGUUCCCGGGUCUUGUACACACCGCCCGUCACACCAUGGGAGUCGGAAAUGCCCGAAGCCGGUGACCCAACCAAAAGGAGGGAGCCGUCGAAGGCAGGUCUGAUAACUGGGGUGAAGUCGUAACAAGGUACC
rnacentral:rRNA from 1 species